rnacentral:rRNA from 1 species
AAGAUUAAAACUCUAAGGAAUAGACGGGGAUCCACACAAGCGGUGGAGCAUGUGGUUUAAUUCGACAAUAACGCGGGGAACCUUACCAGGACUUGACAUCUUCGGAACUUUGCAGAAAUGCGAAAGUGCCUUCGGGAACCGAAUGACAGGUGUUGCAUGGUUGUCGUCAGCUCGUGCCUUGAGGUGUUCGGUUAAGUCCGUUAACGAGCGCAACCCUCGUCGUAUGUUGUAUUUUUCAUACGAGACUGCCAGUUUUACGCUGGAGGAAGCUGAGGAUGACGUCAAAUCAGCAUGGCCCUUAUGUCCUGGGCGACACACGUGCUACAAUGGCUGGCACAAAGGGUAGCGAAGUCGUAAGGCGGAGCCAAUCCCAAAAAACCAGUCUAAGUUCGGAUUGAGGGCUGCAACCCGCCCUCAUGAAGUUGGAUCGCUAGUAACCGUAGAUCAGCCAUGCUACGCGUGAUAUGUUCCUGGAUCUUGUACUCACCGCCCGUCAAGUCAUGAAGGCAGGGGCGCCCGAAGU